UCUGUUUCAGUACAUUUAACAGAACAAGGUUUACUUACAUUUAGGUUAUUAAUUUAAGUUUACGUUCCUGAUACUUCAUGUUAAUGAUUUACCCUUUUCUAUCUACUUAGUGUCUUUGGGACAGGACAGAGUUGAACAGUCUUCAAGAGAAAUGACUGCAAGUGAAGGAGAUCAAGUUAUUUUAAGGUGUAAUUAUACUACAACUGAUAAAAAUCCGUAUCUCUUCUGGUACAAACAGCUACCAAACAAAUCACCAACAUUCAUUCUAAAUAAAUAUACAUUUAGUGACGGAAUAACCGAGGAUGAAUUUAAGAAGAGAUUUUCUGCAACAUUGAACUCCACAUCAAGAUCAGUUCCUCUGAUGAUCCAGGAUGUGUGUGUGUCUGACUCUGCUGUGUAUUACUGUGCUCUGAAGCCCACAGUGACUCAAACACACUCAACACUCACACAAAAACAUGCAAAAUAAAUAAAAACUCUCCAACUUUGCCAAAGCAACACUAUAAACCAAGUGGAAACAUAUAAAAUGACAUUUCACCAGUGAGAAGAAGUGAGACGCAUAUCAGUAAUAAACAAUUAAGUGCUCUUUGUGGGGAACAAUGAAGAAUCACGUCAAGAUGAACCUGCAAGAUGUGAAACUGCAAAGUUCUACUCAAGCAGAGCAUCUCUACAAUAUUUUCAUUUAGUUAUUUUUAUUUCUUCAACUUUUUAGAGUUCAAUAUGAUCCAGAAUGUGUUUGUGUAUUUGGUUUUUAAGCAGCACAUAUAGGUCCCCAUCACACACUCUCUGAUUUCUUUCUUUCAAGGCUCUUGUUCUUGUGUUCAAAACUGUCACUUCCAACCAAUCACCUGCAUCUGAACCAAAGAUGAAGACACUGAAGACACACCUCUUCUGUGAGCUCUGAACUAAAGCAUUAGCAUCGGAGCACAGAGAACAUGAACAGAUCUGUAGAAACAUGGAAAAACACCUGUUUCUGAUUUUAUUUCUGACUUCAGGUGUGAUGACUGCAGACAAGAUUGGGCCAAAUAAAGAAACUAACAUUAUAAAGAAGGAAGACGAGACUGUGACCCUCAGCUGCUCAUAUGAAUCAGGCGGCAGUUAUGUUUAUCUUUACUGGUACAGACAGUAUCCUAACAGUGAACCUCAGUAUUUAAUAUAUAAGGAACGAUCAAGUAGUGGAAGUGGAAGCACCUCUGAUCGCCGCUUUCAGUUGACUACAUCUCAAUCAUCCACUGAACUCAAGAUUAAUGGUGUGACUCUGUCAGAUUCAGCUCUCUAUUAUUGUGCUCUAAGAGUUGGAGCCCAGUGAUACAAAGUCUAUGUGAAGCUGUACAAAAACUCAAAUUCAUUUUUCCUUUUGAUCUCAAGCCACAUCAAACCCACAAUCUAUAAUUCACACAAUAUUAUUACACCAGUGGAAACACCUGUGUGUGGUUACAAAUAACAUUUACUUCAAGUUAUAAAGGGAAAUUGA